rnacentral:tRNA from 1 species
GGAGGUGUGGUUCAAGUGGUAGAGCACCCGCCUAGCAAGUGGGAGACCUUGUGUUCAAAUCUCAGUACCAGCCA